CUGAACCAGCCAAGUAGCGUGAAGGAUGACUGCCCUAUGGGUUGUAAACUUCUUUUAUAUGGGAAUAAAGUUUUCCACGUGUGGAAUUUUGUAUGUACCAUAUGAAUAAGGAUCGGCUAACUCCGUGCCAGCAGCCGCGGUAAUACGGAGGAUCCGAGCGUUAUCCGGAUUUAUUGGGUUUAAAGGGAGCGUAGGCGGACAGUUAAGUCAGUUGUGAAAGUUUGCGG
rnacentral:rRNA from 1 species